rnacentral:rRNA from 1 species
UUAAAUCAGAGUUUGAUCCUAGCUCAGGGUGAACGCUGGCGGCGUGGAUAAGGCAUGCAAGUCAAGGGGGUCCCGUAAGGGACAACCGGCAGACGAGGUAGUAACACGCAGGUACGCACCGAAAAGUCGGGCAUAGCUCGUCGAAAGACGGGGUAAUUUCCGAUAGUCUCCCGAGAGCAAUCGAGGGAGUAAAGCAGCAAUGCGCUUUUUGAGCGGCCUGUGUCGCAUCAGCUAGUUGGUAUGGUAACGGCCUACCAAGGCUAUGACGCGUAGGGGAGCUGAGAGGCUGACCCCCACCGAUGGUACUGAGAUACGGACCAUACACCUACGGGUGGCCGCAGUCGAGAAUCUUCCGCAAUGGGCGAAAGCCUGACGGAGCGACGCCGCGUGAUUGAUGAAGUCCUUCGGGACGUAAAGAUCUUUUAUGCGUGAGAAAGUUAUUGAUGUUAGCGCAUGAAUAAGAGGCUCCUAACUCUGUGCCAGCAGGAGCGGUAAUACAGAGGCCUCAAGCGUUACCCGGAAUUACUGGGCGUAAAGGGUGUGUAGGCGGUUUUGUUAGUCUCUCGUGAAAGUUCUGGGGCUCAACCUCGGAGACGCGGGGGAAACGGCAAAACUUCGAGGAUGCGAGAGGUAGAGGGAACUCACAGUGUAGGGGUGAAAUCCGUUGAUAUUGUGGGGAACACCAAAAGCGAAGGCACUCUACUGGCGCACUCCUGACGCUGAAACACGAAAGCGUGGGUAGCGAACGGGAUUAGAUACCCCGGUAGUCCACGCCCUAAACGAUGAUAACUGGCUUUACGGAGUAUCGACCCUCUGUGAGGCGAAGCUAACGCGUUAAGUUAUCCGCCUGGGUAGUACGAUCGCAAGAUUAAAACUCAAAGGAAUAGACGGGGACUUGCACAAGCGGUGGAUCAUGCGGCUUAAUUCGAUGACAAACGAAGAACCUCACCAGGGUUUGAAACGGAGACGACCGGUUUAGGAAACUUUACCUUUCGCAAGACGGCUCCGCAGGUGAUGCAUGGUCGUCGUCAGUUCGUGGCUUGAGUUGUUCCCUUCAGUGGGGUAACGAACGCAACCCCCGUUGCCUGUUUUAUAUGUCAGGCGAGACUGCUCCCUCACGGGAGAGGAAGGUGGGGAUGACGCCAGAUCAGCAUGUCCCUCUGAUAUCCUGGGCUGCACGCAUGAUACAAUGCACGCGACAACGAGAUGCGACGGGGCAACCCCAAGCAAAUCUUUUAAACGUGUGCCCAGUUCGGAUUGAGGGCUGCAACUCGCCCUCAUGAAGUUGGAAUCGCUAGUAAUCGCGGGUCAGCUAUACCGCGGUGAAUACGUUCUCAAGUCUUGUACUCACCGCCCGUCAACUCAAGGGAGCCGGGAAUACCCGAAGCCAGCCCUAGGCUGGUCACGGUAAGUUCGGUGACAGGGAGUAAGUCGUAACAAGGCACGGGUAGCGGAAGCUGC